rnacentral:rRNA from 1 species
UACGGAGGGUGCGAGCGUUGUCCGGAAUCACUGGGCGUAAAGGGCGCGUAGGUGGCCUGUGGAAGUCUGCGGUGAAAGCCCGGCGCUCAACGCCGGGUCUGCCGUGGAUACUCUCGGGCUUGAGCUUACUAGAGGCAGAUGGAAUUCCUGGUGUAGCGGUGAAAUGCGCAGAUAUCAGGAGGAACACCGGUGGCGAAGGCGGGUCUCUGGGCCGAUACUGACGCUGAGGAGCGAAAGCGUGGGGAGCGAACAGG